CCCAACUCUUCUUUUGCUGCUACAAGCACAGGAAAAGGUUACUUUCAAAAGUUUGAUGAAGUAGCUUUAACUUAUUAGUUAUUACUCCUGUGUUAUAGCUGGUUUUAAAUGUGACAACUUGAGCGGACUGUCUUUGACUGUAAUUUCUUGGCUUCCUGUUUACAUUUAUUCUUUUUUGUUGUUUCUAAGUGAUGCGAGUGGGUUGAAAUUCAUAAUAUGAAUGCUAUUGAGAAAAUGUUGUAAUUUUUUUAUUCUCGAUUAUAUAUUUUGGUAGGUCACUUCUUUUCUUUUGAUUUUUCAUUGUAGAAUAUUCAAACUAGUGAAAAGCAAGAGGCAUCAAAACAAUGUAAUUGCACAAUAGCAGUCGUUGAAAAUACUUUAACAAAGUUUACCUGGGCAAAAGAAGCUCAGAGAAAAAUUGAAAAGUUAAAAGGACGAAGGCAAAGAAAUGCCAAAGAGCUUUGCUGAGGUAUUUAUUAUAUUGCCCACAUCUCUCAUAUUUCACAUGCUGUUAAUAGUGAUAUUCUAGAAGUGAUGAACUAUGUGCUUAUUGUGUUGUGUGAAUAUUUUGCUGGUUAGCUGAUGCGUUUUUAUCUGCAUAUUCUACUUUUUCCCUACUAUAAUGCAUGGUUAGGAGGAUAAAGAAAAUAAAAUGCUCGUGUGAUAUGGCUUGUGCAUUGUAGUUUGAUGUUAUUGCAUUUCGGAUUUCCGAUGAAUUAUUGACUUGGGAAGGGAUCAUUGGCUGCAGGUUCAGAAGUUGAUGGGAUCAACCCCCAUGGAUGUUGCACAAUCAAGAGUGGAAAAAUGAGUAGAAAUGCACCCUGUCCCUCUGGUUCCAAGAAGUUAAAACUUUUCUUCCUUAACUGAUUGUGUGGAUUCUAGCCUAAAUGAUUGAAUUCGCCACUGUGUAUAUCGAGAUUUGAUUCGAUAAAUGUGUGAUAACCAUUUUCUAAGACCAAUUUUUGGAAUUCAGAAUAUAAAAUUUUAUAUAUGAGAAUAGGUUAAUGAUGAGUACCUGAGUUGAUCCUCUUAACUUAGCUUGCAAGUGAAUCUAAUUUUUUUAUCACAGCAUAUGAGCAGUGAAACUUCUGAGAUUAUCUUAAGAUGCCAUACGCAUUAGACUUCUUACAUGCUUUAUUGCUGUACAGGUUCUAGCUUCAUCAACUGGACCAGUCCUUUCUGCUGUAAAAUCUUUACUUUGUAACAAAUUUUGCCUAUGUUGCUGUAUAAGAGUGAAAACCUACAAUAUUGACUAAGAAAAAUAUUUCUCAGAAAUUAUGCAUCUAUUGUCCUAUUUUGUCUGUAACUCUAAGCAGUAUAAUAUUUAUUCUCAGUUUGAAGGUGCUGAGAAAGUAGUAAACUUACACAGCUUGGAGUACCAGAGAGCUGAAGAAAGGCACUGUGAGGCUAGGCUAUUAUGUUUUACCAACGAGGAUUUUAACUUGUGCCGUUGCGGCAGGUUCAGUUAAACUGGCAUUGCCCUCGUAAUAACUUCAUGAUACACAUUGGUUUUUAGCGCAUAGCUUGAAGAUCGUCAAUUUCCUCUAUUUUUGGGAUGUGUACAAUAAAAAUGAAGUUGGAAUAAAGUUGCAGGUUUUGCUCUAUAUAGUGA
rnacentral:lncRNA from 1 species